rnacentral:rRNA from 1 species
CCUACGGGGGGCAGCAGUGGGGAAUAUUGGUCAAUGGCCGCAAGCCUGAACCAGCGACGCCGCGUGAAGGAAGAAGGAUUUCGGGUUUGUAAAUUCUUUUUACAGGGGAGUAAAGGUAUCCACGUGUGGAUAUUUGCAUGUACCCUAUGAAUCAGCAUCGGCUAACUCCGUGCCAGCAGCCGCGGUAAUACGGAGGUUGCGAGCGUUAUCCGGAUUUAUUGGGUGUAAAGGGUGCGUAGGGUGUGUUAUAAGUCAGCGGUGAAAGUUUGUGGCUCAACCAUAGAAUUGCCGUUGAAACUGGAGGACUUGAGUGUGGGUGAGGUAGGCGGAAUGCGUGGUGUAGCGGUGAAAUGCAUAGAUAUUAGGAAGAACACCGGUUGCGAAGGCAGCUUACUAGACCGUAACUGACACUGAGGCACGAAAGCGUGGGGAGCAAACAGGAUUAGAUACCCCGGUAGUC